UACGUAGGGGCUAGCGUUAUCCGGAAUUACUGGGCGUAAAGGGUGCGUAGGUGGUUUCUUAAGUAAGAGGUGAAAGGCUACGGCUCAACCGUAGUAAGCCUUUGAAACUGGGAAACUUGAGUGCAGGAGAGGAGAGUGGAAUUCCUAGUGUAGCGGUGAAAUGCGUAGAUAUUAGGAGGAACACCAGUUGCGAAGGCGGCUCUCUGGACUGUAACUGACACUGAGGCACGAAAGCGUGGGGAGCAAACAGGAUUAGAUACCCGUGUAGUCCCUGAGCGGGCU
rnacentral:rRNA from 1 species